rfam:PVC group bacterium (ex Bugula neritina AB1) isolate AB1-3 AB834_contig000060, whole genome shotgun sequence.
GUUUAGAUAGCUCAGAGGUAGAGUGUAGGAUUGAAAAUCCUUUUGUCAUAAGUUCAAAUCUUAUUCUAAACA